rnacentral:lncRNA from 1 species
UGCAACACGAGGACAUCCCGGGAGGUCACCCAUCCUAGUACUACUCUUGCCCAAGAACCCUUAACUGCGGAGUUCUAAUGGGAUCCGGUGCAUUAGUGCUGGUAUGAUCGCACCCUUUCUGACUGUUUUUUUUCUAGCGGGAUAGUGCAUUGAGGUUAAAUGCGUUAAGAAAGCAUCAAAAACAACCUGAGAAUCCGAUUGGGAUCCUUUUAUACGUCCCUUACCUUUCUGUAGCCCGUUACGCCUAUUCACCGCCCUUUAUGGUUUCUGGGCGUUUCCGAAAUGGUGCUAUGGGCGACGUAGUUCCUCACGGUUCAAAAGUUAUGAGGUUUCCAAGUUUAGGCUCGUUUUAGGCCGAAAAAAAAAAUAAAAAUGGGUGCAACACUAGGACUUCCCGGGAGGACACCCAUCCUAGUACUACUCUCGCCCAAGCACGCUUAACUGCGUUGUUCUAAUGGGAUCCGGUGCAUUAGUGCUGGUAUGUUCGCACCCGUUAGUACAUCACUCGUGUUUCCAUAUAUCAUUUGUCUCGGCCAAUCUAAGUGUAAGGCCGUAAAAAAAAAAAUGGUUGCAACACGAGAACUUUUCGGGAGGAAACCCAUCCUAGUACUACUCUCGCCCAAGCACGCUCAACUGCGGAGUUCUAAUGGGAUCCGGUGCAUUAGUGCUGGUAUGAUCGCACCCGUUAGUACAUCACUCGCGUUUCCAUAUAUCAUUUGUCUCGGCCAAUCCAAGUGUAAGGCCGUGGGGCCCACAUGAUUUUCUUGCCGUUUUGUUUCGAGCGAAAAAGUGCAUCGAGGUUAACGGCGUUAAGAAAGCAUCAAAAACACCUUGAGAAUCCGCUUUCGAUCUUUUUUACGUGCCAUAACUUUCCGCAGCCCGUUUGAGGGUCAAAACGGCUGAAUUUGAGCCCGAAAAAUUGCGCCCCCUAUUCACCGCCCAUUAUGGUUUCUGGGGCUUUCCGAAAUGGUGCUAUGGGCGACGUAGUUCCUCACGGUUCAAAAGUUAUGAGGUUUCCAAGUUUAAACUCGUUUUAGGCUAAAAAAAAAUUAAAAAAUAAAAAGGGGUGCAACACGAGGACUUCCCGGGAGGUCACCCAUCCUAGUACUACUCUCGCCCAAGCACGCUUAACUGCGGAGUUCUGAUGGGAUCCGGUGCAUUAGUGCUGGUAUGAUCGCACCCGUCAGUACAUCACUCUCGUUUCUAUAUAUCCUUUUCCCGGCCAAUCCAAGUGUAAGGCCGUGGGGCCCACAUGAUUUUCUUGCCGUUUUGUUUCGAGCGAAAAAGUGCAUCGAGGUUAACGGCGUUAAGAAAGCAUCAAAAACACCUUGAGAAUCCGCUUUCGAUCUUUUUUACGUGCCAUAACUUUCCGCAGCCCGUUUGAGGGUCAAAACGGCUGAAUUUGAGCCCGAAAAAUUGCGCCCCCUAUUCACCGCCCAUUAUGGUUUCUGGGGCUUUCCGAAAUGGUGCUAUGGGCGACGUAGUUCCUCACGGUUCAAAAGUUAUGAGGUUUCCAAGUUUAAACUCGUUUUAGGCUAAAAAAAAAUUAAAAAAUAAAAAGGGGUGCAACACGAGGACUUCCCGGGAGGUCACCCAUCCUAGUACUACUCUCGCCCAAGCACGCUUAACUGCGGAGUUCUGAUGGGAUCCGGUGCAUUAGUGCUGGUAUGAUCGCACCCGUCAGUACAUCACUCUCGUUUCUAUAUAUCCUUUUCCCGGCCAAUCCAAGUGUAAGGCCGUGGGGCCCACAUGAUUUUCUUGCCGUUUUGUUUCGAGCGAAAAAGUGCAUCGAGGUUAACGGCGUUAAGAAAGCAUCAAAAACACCUUGAGAAUCCGCUUUCGAUCUUUUUUACGUGCCAUAACUUUCCGCAGCCCGUUUGAGGGUCAAAACGGCUGAAUUUGAGCCCGAAAAAUUGCGCCCCCUAUUCACCGCCCAUUAUGGUUUCUGGGGCUUUCCGAAAUGGUGCUAUGGGCGACGUAGUUCCUCACGGUUCAAAAGUUAUGAGGUUUCCAAGUUUAAACUCGUUUUAGGCUAAAAAAAAAUUAAAAAAUAAAAAGGGGUGCAACACGAGGACUUCCCGGGAGGUCACCCAUCCUAGUACUACUCUCGCCCAAGCACGCUUAACUGCGGAGUUCUGAUGGGAUCCGGUGCAUUAGUGCUGGUAUGAUCGCACCCGUCAGUACAUCACUCUCGUUUCUAUAUAUCAUUUUCCCGGCCAAUCCAAGUGUAAGGCCGUGGGGCCCACAUGAUUUUCUUGCCGUUUUGUUUCGAGCGAAAAAGUGCAUCGAGGUUAACGGCGUUAAGAAAGCAUCAAAAACACCUUGAGAAUCCGCUUUCGAUCUUUUUUACGUGCCAUAACUUUCCGCAGCCCGUUUGAGGGUCAAAACGGCUGAAUUUGAGCCCGAAAAAUUGCGCCCCCUAUUCACCGCCCAUUAUGGUUUCUGGGGCUUUCCGAAAUGGUGCUAUGGGCGACGUAGUUCCUCACGGUUCAAAAGUUAUGAGGUUUCCAAGUUUAAACUCGUUUUAGGCUAAAAAAAAAUUAAAAAAUAAAAAGGGGUGCAACACGAGGACUUCCCGGGAGUUCACCCAUCCUAGUACUACUCUCGCCCAAGCACGCUUAACUGCGGAGUUCUGAUGGGAUCCGGUGCAUUAGUGCUGGUAUGAUCGCACCCGUUAGUACAUCACUCGCGUUUCCAUAUAUCAUUUGUCUCGGCCAAUCCAAGUGUAAGGCCGUGGGGCCCACAUGAUUUUCUGACUGUUUUUUUUCUAGCGGGAUAGUGCAUCGAGGUUAAUGGCGUUAAGAAAGCAUCAAAAACUACCUGAAAAUCCGAUUGGGAUCCUUUUUUACGUCCCUUAACUUUCUGCAGCCCGUUUGAGGGUCAAAACGGCUGAAUUUGGGCCCGAAAAAUUGCUACGCCUAUUCACCGCCCUUUAUGGUUUCUGGGCGUUUCCGAAAUGGUGCUAUGGGCGACGUAGUUCCUCACGGUUCAAAAGUUAUGAGGUUUCCAAGUUUAGACUCGCUUUAGGCUGAAAAAAAAAAUAAAAAAAAUAAAAAUGGGUGCAACACGAGAACUUUUCGGGAGGACACCCAUCCUAGUACUACUCUCGCCCAAGCACGCUCAACUGCGGAGUUCUAAUGGGAUCCGGUGCAUUAGUGCUGGUAUGAUCGCACCCGUUAGUACAUCACUCGCGUUUCCAUAUAUCAUUUGUCUCGGCCAAUCCAAGUGUAAGGCCGUGGGGCCCACAUGAUUUUCUGAUGGGCGACGUAGUUCCUCACGGUUCAAAAGUUAUGAGGUUUCCAAGUUUAGACUCGUUUUAGGCCGAAAAAAAAAUAAAAAUGGGUGCAACACUAGGACUACCCGGGAGGACACCCAUCCUAGUACUACUCUCGCCCAAGCACGCUUAACUGCGGAGUUCUAAUGGGAUCCGGUGCAUUAGUGCUGGUAUGAUCGCACCCGUCAGUACAUCACUCUCGUUUCUAUAUAUCCUUUUCCCGGCCAAUCCAAGUGUAAGGCCGUGGGGCCCACAUGAUUUUCUUGCCGUUUUGUUUCGAGCGAAAAAGUGCAUCGAGGUUAACGGCGUUAAGAAAGCAUCAAAAACACCUUGAGAAUCCGCUUUCGAUCUUUUUUACGUGCCAUAACUUUCCGCAGCCCGUUUGAGGGUCAAAACGGCUGAAUUUGAGCCCGAAAAAUUGCGCCCCCUAUUCACCGCCCAUUAUGGUUUCUGGGGCUUUCCGAAAUGGUGCUAUGGGCGACGUAGUUCCUCACGGUUCAAAAGUUAUGAGGUUUCCAAGUUUAAACUCGUUUUAGGCUAAAAAAAAAUUAAAAAAUAAAAAGGGGUGCAACACGAGGACUUCCCGGGAGGUCACCCAUCCUAGUACUACUCUCGCCCAAGCACGCUUAACUGCGGAGUUCUGAUGGGAUCCGGUGCAUUAGUGCUGGUAUGAUCGCACCCGUCAGUACAUCACUCUCGUUUCUAUAUAUCCUUUUCCCGGCCAAUCCAAGUGUAAGGCCGUGGGGCCCACAUGAUUUUCUUGCCGUUUUGUUUCGAGCGAAAAAGUGCAUCGAGGUUAACGGCGUUAAGAAAGCAUCAAAAACACCUUGAGAAUCCGCUUUC